GAUGCUUUGCCUCGCCUCUCGCUGUGUGCCUGUAUGCCUGUGUGCGCGCGCGUGCUCGCUCGGGCAUCCGUGUCUAGCCGAGGGGAGGGGGUGGCGUGUGAGUGCGUGGAGGGUAAAAGCCAGUCAGUCAGUGAGAAGCAAAGAUCAACUACCUCAGAAGAACCAGAUUCCACUUCUGUGGCCAGGACUUUUAUGUUAUGGCUGGUCCGAUUGUUUUACCCUGCGUUCUAUGCUACUAAACCUUGGAUAAUUCCUAAAGUACAAAUUCUGUUCUCGAACCACAAACAAGGCUAAAAGAUCGGAGGAAAUUCAGUGAAUAUACAGGAUUGGGGUUGUGUAUUUUCAAAAGUACUGAGCUUUAUAAUUCAAUUAUUCAAGAAGUAGAAUCAUGUUUUUUUUUUUUUUUAUGAUGCUGCCAGCAUUUUAAAUUACAUGUUUAUUAAGUGGCAUUGCUCAAAUAACUACAGAGUAUGCGUGGAAAUAUUUGCUGUCUGAAUAGUGUGGAGAUUCAAAGAGAAAAAUCAAGCUUCAGAGGUGUCUGAUGAUUUGUGAGCAUCAAGUGACUACUCUGUGGAAUCCUCUGUCCUUGCCUUUGAAUUAGCUUUCCCUAGGCCAUGAGUCAACAUUAGUAGUUUAUACAUCCAUAUUGUGUUGACUUCAUUCUCAGAUGACAAGAGCACCUCAAAGAUAGCAGCCUCAAGGAGUAGCCAUGGCCCCAGAGUUGUCCCAUGGUUGCAGAGAACUUAGUGGAGGAGGCUGAGGUCAGAAUGGGAAGAGUUUUUAAAAAGUAAAAAGGGGAGCUGAUGUGUGAGGACUGAUUGCUGUGCAUUAUUUUCUGAACUGACCUUCUUUUAGCUUCUAAUCUCAAACACAUAGCACCUGUUGUUUUCAUAUUAAAGAACAGUGUGUGUUGAAUGAAUAUAUGAAUUCUUCCCAAAUCUCUGUUCCAUGUGGUAAGAACUCAGUUAGCAUUCAAUUAUAAUGAGGACUUGGAAAGUCUGCAAGCAUUUUUGAUUAAAAAAAGAAAAAAUGCUUUUAACUGUCUUUUCAUGGUUUCAGGUAACGUCUAAGCCCAAAAAACUCAGGCCAUUUCUUGCCUGCACUGUUGCAAUCGCUUCAUAAUAAUUGUUCUUCUCCUUUAUCAACCACAGUCAUCUCUACUACAUAAAGAAGAGAGGGUGCUAAAGUGUAAAUUAUUUCAAAUCAGCAGCCUCCUCAUAAUUUGCUAGUGGUUUUCAUGUCAUUAGAAUAACAAGCAAAAUUCCUUGCUUGUGAAGCCAUAUAUGACCUUGCCCCUGUCUGCCUUACCGGCAUUAGCUCUCGUGACUCAUCCCCUUUCUCUCCACCUUGCCUUUUCCCAACCAUGCCUGCUAGUCAACUUUAGCCCUUGUGUUCUCUCUGCCAGGAACUGCAUUCUCACCAGGAAUUGCAUGACUCACUUCUUUACUUUAUUCUGAUCUCUCUGCUCAAAUGUGAUCUUUUUAGAGACACCUUUCCUAACCAUCUUAAAAAGCACCUCAUUCACUGUUGGACACCUUUCCUGCUUUUUCUUCAUAAUAUGUAUCACUUCCUGAUAUUGUGUUAGAAAACAAGCAAAUAAGUGUAUGCCUAUAUGCUGUUCCCACUAAAAUAUAAGCUCUUUCUGAACAGGAGCCUGGAUUAUUUAUGAGUAUAUCCCUAGUGCCCGAAACCUAGUAGACUGGUCCCUAUUAGGGCUUUAAUAAAUAUUGGAUUCAUUUGUUGAAUGAAUGAAUAAUUGAAUAAGAAUAUCCAGGUAGAGUAUCGGGGCAGCCCAACCUAUUUGAAGCCUGUACAACGUUUCUCUGACAUAAUGAAUGCAAUUCUUCUACAUGAUGAAAUUACAUGAGUACAUGAGGAUAAAACUAAGCACAUAGUUUAGAUUUCUUCAGGUCUCUUCCUCAGAUUAAGGAAAAACAAAGAAAUGGAGCUUAUUCCUACCUCAUUCUUACAUGAACUAAAUCCAAAAUAAAGCAUCAUCCAUAUACCAAACGCAUCCCUACCCUAGCCACUCAUGGAAUACUUUAUCUGUAAAGGGAUAGAUAGUAAAUAUUUUUGGCUUUGGGGACCAUACCGUCUGUGUCACUACCACUCAGCACUUCUGUUGAGGUGUGAAAUCAGCCUUAGACAACACAUAAACAAAUGGGCGUGGCUGUGUUCCAAUAAAAUGUUACUUAUAAAACCAGAAAAUCAGCAGAUUUAGCACACAGGCUCUAGCUUGCUGACCCUUGAAUUAGAGGGUCUUCCCCCAAAUCCUCUUCCCAAGUUAUUGACAGAAUGCCCAUAGGACCAUGGCUCCCUCACUUGGUUCUUUCAUAAAAUGAAACAAAUUCAGGGAUAGCUGGAGGGCGGAAGACCUACCUGUGACGUGACUAUUGAGCCUGAUUUCUUGCUUGAUAUCUCUUUAAACUGAAUCAGGCCUUAACUAUAAACUGUCUCUAACGUAGCAAUAACAACUGGGCCAUGUCAAAUACUCCCAAUGACAAAAUUUCUUCUUGAAGAAUGAAUGAAGAUUGCAUACAGCGGUAUGUUGGUAUGUGUUUAGCAACUGGCUCUCUUACUGAUUUCUGUAGUGUAAAUUCUCCCAUCCUAGCCAUCUGAAACUACCAGUAUGAUGUCACUUAAUGUAGAGUUGGGAAAAGACAGUCUCUUGAAUCAGUAUGAGCUGGUUCCAGCCCACUGCUGAAUACAUAUUUAAAAGCUACAAUAGCUCUGCCAUUGCAGAGUCUGCAGGAAAGAGUAGUGGACUUGAUAGGAGCAAUUGGCUGGAUAGUCUUUUGGAAUGCCAAUAAAUAAUGAAAAAGUAUGUAAAUAUAAUGCUCUAUAGAAAGCUCUCAAGUUCAGUGCUUGGUUAAAAUACAUACUCAGUAAAUGGUAGCUAUUAUCAUCUUAGUUUAAGUUAUUGCAAGCAUCAAAAUUAAAUGUUUAGCUACAGACUCAA